rnacentral:rRNA from 1 species
CCUACGGGUGGCAGCAGUGAGGAAUAUUGGUCAAUGGGCGGGAGCCUGAACCAGCCAAGUCGCGUGAAGGAAGAAGGUACUUAGUAUUGUAAACUUCUUUUGUCGGGGAACAAAGGCGGAGACGCGUCUCCGGAUGAGUGUACCCGAAGAAAAAGCAUCGGCUAACUCCGUGCCAGCAGCCGCGGUAAUCCGGAGGAUGCGAGCGUUAUCCGGGUUUAUUGGGUUUAAAGGGUGCGCAGGCGGGAGAUCAAGUCAGCGGUAAAAUGUCGGGGCGCAACCCCGGACGGCCGUUGAAACUGGUUUUCUAGAGUUGGAGAGAGGUAUGCGGAAUUCGUGGUGUAGCGGUGAAAUGCGUAGAUAUUAGGAGGAACACCGGUGGCGAAGGCGGCCAACUGGGCUUUAACUGACGCUGAGGCUCGAAAGUGUGGGGAGCAAACAGGAUUAGAUACCCUUGUAGUC